CGCGUCUAUAUUAACUUUCCGACAAAGGGCCGGCCUUCGCUCGAGACGUCGAAAUUUAAACUUGAAUUUGCUGGUGUUAUUGUCACCACCUACCCUAUUAGUCAUAACCUAUCUGAACAAGUCACAUGGAAAGGAUUAAAAAAAGCCGAACGUUUCGAGCGACAUAGCAUUGUCGCGCAGGAGGUGAGUAUAUAUAGGUAUCUUGUCAUAUUUUAUAACAUUUUAUUUCAAUUUGUAAGAUAGUGCCUUAGAAUAUUUCUAGUUUUUAGUGCUUUAGGCCAAGUAAAAAAAAAGUGUAGUUUCUCGUCUCCGCCCGCAUCCUUUUUCCCUACCGCAUGGAUUUUUCUUUUUUUUUAAUUUUUAUAUUCGAGCCUUUCAAAUAAUUUCCAUUUAGUGUAUUUCGGCUAUUUUUCUCCUUUCGGCAUAGUUCGGUUGCCGUUUGGAAAUUUUCGUCAACUCUCGCCGGCUUGCUGUUCCGUAUUUUGGUGCCAUAUUGCAUUAGUAGCUGUUUGUCUAUUUUAAUAUAUUUACGUUGUAUGAGUAAGGCCACAUAAAAUAAAUUCCUUGAUUCUCAUCACCGCCCGACUGUAUUUUAAGAGACGCGUGAAAUUUUUUUAUAUUUCGUUAUACAAU